rnacentral:rRNA from 1 species
GUACACUCCUGCGGGAGGCAGCAGUGGGGAAUAUUGGACAAUGGGCGCAAGCCUGAUCCAGCCAUGCCGCGUGAGUGAUGAAGGCCCUAGGGUUGUAAAGCUCUUUCACCGGUGAAGAUAAUGACGGUAACCGGAGAAGAAGCCCCGGCUAACUUCGUGCCAGCAGCCGCGGUAAUACGAAGGGGGCUAGCGUUGUUCGGAUUUACUGGGCGUAAAGCGCACGUAGGCGGACUAUUAAGUCAGGGGUGAAAUCCCGGGGCUCAACCCCGGAACUGCCUUUGAUACUGGUAGUCUUGAGUUCGAGAGAGGUGAGUGGAAUUCCGAGUGUAGAGGUGAAAUUCGUAGAUAUUCGGAGGAACACCAGUGGCGAAGGCGGCUCACUGGCUCGAUACUGACGCUGAGGUGCGAAAGCGUGGGGAGCAAACAGGAUUAGAAACCCCAGUAGUCCAUG